ensembl:lncRNA
GAUGGAGGCCGGAAGUGAACGUGACUGACAGGUGAGCCGGCGGGUGAGAGGUCGCGUGAGGUCGCGAUGUCCUGGCCAGUGGUUUUCUUCUCUCCGUGUGCACUCGUCUUAAUACCUCCACACCUGGACUCCUCUCUCUACAUCUGGACUCCUCUCUCCACA